AGUCCAAGCACGCUGCCCGGCGCCCGGCAGCCCACCAGAAGCCAGCUCGGCGUUUCUUCUAAUUCAGUAGCCCUCAACCUUUAGGGAGUCACAGAACCGUGGCAAAACCGAAGAACGAAACGCGCGCCCGCGCAGUACAGCGGACGAACUCGGCUUUGCACCCGUUCUUCGGGACCCACGAGAGGAGACGGCCAGGAGAGGGUGCCACUCCGAGGGUCGUGGGCAGCGGAGAGUCUGGGGGCUCAGCCGGGUGGGUCCCGGGUUCUGGCCUGCACGUCCACCCGUUCUCCAGGCCUCACCCGUGGAAAGUGCCCACGGCUGCCGCUCUCGCCGCCUCCGUCGCGUCACAGCCGCGCCAGUGUGAAGAGCACUAGGGCGGGCGCGCCGGAAAUACGUCACGGGAACGCCGGCAGCGCGUGAAGUUGGUGAGGCCUGGGCCGCGGCAUACUUCCGGCCUGAGUCCGGCACCGCGGGUGAGAGACCGAGGCCGAGCGUGCUCAGUAAAGGAGGCAGAGCCAGCGUUU
rnacentral:lncRNA from 10 species